rnacentral:rRNA from 1 species
GACGAACGCUGGCGGCGUGCCUAAUACAUGCAAGUCGAACGCAUUUUCUUUCACCGUAGCUUGCUACACCGAAAGAAAAUGAGUGGCGAACGGGUGAGUAACACGUGGGUAACCUGCCCAUCAGCGGGGGAUAACACUUGGAAACAGGUGCUAAUACCGCAUAAUUCCAUUUACCGCAUGGUAAAUGGAUGAAAGGCGCUUUUGCGUCACUGAUGGAUGGACCCGCGGUGCAUUAGCUAGUUGGUGGGGUAACGGCCUACCAAGGCUGCGAUGCAUAGCCGACCUGAGAGGGUGAGCGGCCACACUGGGACUGGGACACGGCCCAGACUCCUACGGGAGGCAGCAGUAGGGAAUCUUCGGCAAUGGACGCAAGGCUGACCGAGCAACGCCGCGUGAGUGAAGAAGGGUUUCGGAUCGUAAAACUCUGUUGUUAGAGAAGAACAAGGAUGAGAGUGGAAAGUUCAUCCCUUGACGGUAGCUAACCAGAAAGCCACGGCUAACUACGUG